rnacentral:rRNA from 1 species
CUGGCGGCGUGCUUAACACAUGCAAGUCGAACGCGAAAGGGACUUCGGUCCUGAGUAAAGUGGCGCACGGGUGAGUAACGCGUAGAUAACCUGUCUUCAUGUCUGGAAUAAUACGCCGAAAGGGGUACUAAUACCGGAUAUCUUGCUUUUCAUAAGUUAUGCAAGCAAAGGUGGCCUCUGCAUAUGCUACUGCAUGAAGAGGGGUCUGCGUACCAUUAGCUAGUAGGUGGGGUAAUGGCCUACCUAGGCGACGAUGGUUAGCGGGUCUGAGAGGAUGAUCCGCCACACUGGCACUGGAACACGGGCCAGACUCCUACGGGAGGCAGCAGUGAGGAAUAUUGCGCAAUGGGGGAAACCCUGACGCAGCGACGCCGCGUGAGUGAGGAAAGGCCUUCGGGUCGUAAAGCUCUGUCAAGAGGAAAGAAGUGUACAAUGGCUAAUACCUGUUGUAUUUGACGGUACCUCUAAAGGAAGCACCGGCUAACUCCGUGCCAGCAGCUGC